UGGGGAAUAUUGGGCAAUGGGCGCAAGCCUGACCCAGCAACGCCGCGUGAAGGAAGAAGGCUUUCGGGUUGUAAACUUCUUUUAUUGAGGACGAAACAAAUGACGGUACUCAAUGAAUAAGCCACGGCUAACUACGUGCCAGCAGCCGCGGUAAUACGUAGGUGGCAAGCGUUAUCCGGAUUUACUGGGUGUAAAGGGCGUGUAGGCGGGACUGCAAGUCAGAUGUGAAACCCAUGGGCUCAACCCAUGGCCUGCAUUUGAAACUGUAGUUCUUGAGUGAUGGAGAGGCAGGCGGAAUUCCGUGUGUAGCGGUGAAAUGCGUAGAUAUACGGAGGAACACCAGUGGCGAAGGCGGCCUGCUGGACAUUAACUGACGCUGAGGCGCGAAAGCGUGGGGAGCAAACAGG
rnacentral:rRNA from 1 species